rnacentral:rRNA from 1 species
GGGACCAUCCUCCAAGGCUAAAUACUCCUGACUGACCGAUAGUGAACCAGUACCGUGAGGGAAAGGCGAAAAGAACCCCGGCGAGGGGAGUGAAAAAGAACCUGAAACCGUGUACGUACAAGCAGUGGGAGCACCUUCGGGUGUGACUGCGUACCUUUUGUAUAAUGGGUCAGCGACUUAUAUUCUGUAGCAAGGUUAACCGUAUAGGGGAGCCGAAGGGAAACCGAGUCUUAACUGGGCGUUAAGUUGCAGGGUAUAGACCCGAAACCCGGUGAUCUAGCCAUGGGCAGGUUGAAGGUUGGGUAACACUAACUGGAGGACCGAACCGACUAAUGUUGAAAAAUUAGCGGAUGACCUGUGGCUGGGGGUGAAAGGCCAAUCAAACCGGGAGAUAGCUGGUUCUCCCCGAAAGCUAUUUAGGUAGCGCCUCGUGAACUCAUCUUCGGGGGUAGAGCACUGUUUCGGCUAGGGGGCCAUCCCGGCUUACCAACCCGAUGCAAACUACGAAUACCGAAGAAUGUUAUCACGGGAGACACACGGCGGGUGCUAACGUCCGUCGUGAAGAGGGAAACAACCCAGACCGCCAGCUAAGGUCCCAAAGUCAUGGUUAAGUGGGAAACGAUGUGGGAAGGCACAGACAGCCAGGAUGUUGGCUUAGAAGCAGCCAUCAUUUAAAGAAAGCGUAAUAGCUCACUGGUCGAGUCGGCCUGCGCGGAAGAUGUAACGGGGCUAAACCAUG